GGGACGACAUAGUACUGGUGAUUCCUUUCUGUUCGCGACAUCUCCUCUCGCGCGGCUAGGGCACGCGACCUCCCACCGCCGGCCGUCUCUUCUUCCUCACCACCGACCGGCAGCUCUUUCUUCUCUUCACUGCCGCACAGACCCCUCUCAAGAAUCGGGAAGUGCGGUGGUGGAUUUCGCUGGCGAUGACGACGCCCAACAACCUUCCCAACGGCGGCCACCACCAGCGCCCACACCCUCCGCCCGACCCUAGGAGGCAGCGCCACUACCUUGGCACGCCCAUCGCCACCCCUUCCUCCUCCUCUUCCUCCGCCGCCUCCUUCAAGGGUUGCUGCUGCUACCUCGACGGCGCUCGAUGUGAUGUUUUAGCAAUCACUCCUUUCUUUUAUGUACAAGCGUGUAAAUUGCUAGUCACCUUCUUCACACGACUUGUUGCUUCUUGUUACUUCGCUGCUUGGUGGAUCUCUUGAUCGACUCGAUCCUCUGAAGUCUGAUCUGUUCUCUGAAUCUUGCUAUGAACUCAUCCGCCUUCUUGUCCACCUCAUUCGCUUCCCCUCCUCCCGCUUCAUGGUUUGACGUUUCUUCUGUGGCACCACCAGACGCCUCUGCAACGUCCUCCCCGCAAUUAUCGGCCUGCUCAUUCCUUGGACUUGUUAUGUCGUUGGUGGCAUCCCGACAUUCUCUCCUACUCGAGUUCUUCAAUUCCUCUUUGAGCCUUCUGGCCGUUGCGUGAUUUCCGUGCUCAUGUUUGAGGUAGUCGGGUGGAGGCGGCGGUGGCGGACUGGCCUUGCUUUUGUAGAUAAUCUUCGGCUUCGACGUGUCGGAUGAGAACGACGGCGAAGGAGAAAGAUGCCUUGGAAGGCAAAGUGGGGGACGCGGGAGUUGAGGGAAUGAUGCUACUGCCUUUUAUGCCGGCCACCUGUUCGACCUUAUUCCCCUUCGACCCUGAGCGUGAUAUCCACGGGAUUGGAGAGGGGAGUAUUGCGGACUCGUUCUCUGAAUCAAACAGGUGAUCUUCAAUUCCAUAGUUAGCUGAGGUAGACUGCUCAUCGUUCUCCUGGUUUCGUUGUUUUAUGCUUCGAACGGGCAACAGCAGAUGUGAUGUUUUAGCAAUCGCUCGAUGUGGUUCGGCACAAGGAUCUAAGCAAGCGCUUGCGGCCUCCUCCCUGCUGAUCACCGACGCUUCUGCUCACUAUGGUCGGCACACUGCCGCCUGGAUCUACUUCCGGGAUCUUCCUUGUUUUGUACAAGGAUAGCGCCUGCGGUCUCCUCCCCUCUCAGGUUGAGCAGAAGCCACAUCGAUCUACGGCCUCCUCUUGUCUUGGGCUGAUCAAAGGUCGAAGCAUCACCGUAGGCCUCCUCUCCAUUCGGGUUGAGCAGAAGCCCAGCAAGCAGCGUUUCUCCUGCGAACCGCUUCCAACCGUUGAUGAGCAGGUAGAGAUUAGGUGGUAUAAGGUUAUGUGAUGGCUAAGAGUAGGGACAGAACCGAAGAUUUUAGGGAAGCUACCCGUGUGACAGCUCUCUCUUUUGGCUACGACGAGGCCAAAUUGGCUGCGCUCUUGGCAUCCUUCAUUUUGCGCAAACCCUUGGAGAAACCUUCAUUUGAAAAAGCUGCAAUUAAGACGCUUGAAAGUAUUUUAGAAUUGGAACACUUCAUCACUAAGCAUCGGAAAGAUUAUGUGGAUCUACAUCGAAUCACUGAACAGGAGAGGGACAACAUUGAACAUGAAACAACAAAACAUAAUUGAGCGAAUACUGGAGGAUGUUCAAAAUGAGCAACACCAACAAUAUAGAGUGCAACAAGUGCUCCCCAAGAAGGCUCAACAAUCGAAAUUGCCUGCAAGAAAACCAAGGACUGUUCCCAACUAUGCCCACAUUUCAGCAAUCAAAAUCCAAGCAGCAUAUAGAGGUUACAGGGUACUUGAUCCAACCAUGAGGCCGAGUAUAAAAGAGCUUUAAAAGGCUUCAAAUCAAGUGUUUCUAAACAUGUAACCAUUAUCGGUUGGCUAUCAAAUGGCUGUUCUUGGUGUUUAAUGCCUAUAUUUCUCCUUAAACUUUGCAGUGUACUACUAUUAGCAUUUUGUAAAACAAGUAGUGUUGUAUUUAUACACUUCGUUUAGGAAUACUUUUAUAAUGUCAGAAUUCUAUUAUUUUGGUA